UAAUACGUAGGGCGCGAGCGUUGUCCGGAAUUAUUGGGCGUAAAGAGCUCGUAGGCGGCCUGUUGCGUCCGCUGUGAAAUCCCGGGGCUUAACCCCGGGCGUGCAGUGGAUACGGGCAGGCUGGAGGCAGGCAGGGGAGAACGGAAUUCCCGGUGUAGCGGUGAAAUGCGCAGAUAUCGGGAGGAACACCGGUGGCGAAGGCGGUUCUCUGGGCCUGAUCUGACGCUGAGGAGCGAAAGCGUGGGGAGCAAACAGGAUUAGAUACCCUGGUAGUCCACGCCGUAAACGUUGGGCGCUAGGUGUGGGUCCCUUCCACGGGGUCUGUGCCGCAGCUAACGCAUUAAGCGCCCCGCCUGGGGAGUACGGCCGCAAGGCUA
rnacentral:rRNA from 1 species